UGUCCUCACUUCCAAUUAAAAUUGGAACAAGACAAAGAUUUGCAUGGCCCCUAUGAGGAUGACAUAUAAAUUUGUGAAGUAUUCCAUAUUUUG
rnacentral:snRNA from 1 species